rnacentral:rRNA from 1 species
GAAUUUUGGACAAUGGGCGAAAGCCUGAACCAGCAAUGCCGCGUGCAGGAUGAAGGCCUUCGGGUUGUAAACUGCUUUUGUGCGGAACGAGAAGCUUUGGGUUAAUACCCUGGAGUCAUGACGGUACCGGAAGAAUAAGCACCGGCUAACUACCUGCCAGCGGCCGCGGGAAUCCGUAGGUUGCAAGCGUUAAUCGGAAUUACUGGGCGUAAAACGUGCGCAGGCGGUUUUGUAAGACAGAGGUGAAAACCCCGGGCUCAACCUGGGAACUGCCUUUGUUACUGCAAGGCUAGAGUACGGCAGAGGGGGGUGGAAUUCCGCGUGUAGCAGUGAAAUGCGUAGAUAUGCGGAGGAACACCGAUGGCGAAGGCAACCCCCUGGGCCUGUACUGACGCUCAUGCACGAAAGCGUGGGGAGCAAACA